rnacentral:rRNA from 1 species
UACGGAGGGUGCGAGCGUUGUCCGGAAUCAUUGGGCGUAAAGCGCGUGUAGGCGGUUCGGUAAGUCCGCUGUGAAAGUCGGGGGCUCAACCCUCGAAUGCCGGUGGAUACUGUCGGACUAGAGUACGGAAGAGGCGAGUGGAAUUCCUGGUGUAGCGGUGAAAUGCGCAGAUAUCAGGAGGAACACCUAUUGCGAAGGCAGCUCGCUGGGACGUAACUGACGCUGAGACGCGAAAGCGUGGGGAGCAAACAGG